rnacentral:rRNA from 1 species
AUUGAACGCUGGCGGCAUGCUUUACACAUGCAAGUCGAACGGUAACAGGCCUUCGGGCGCUGACGAGUGGCGAACGGGUGAGUAAUGCAUCGGAACGUGCCCAGUCGUGGGGGAUAACGCAGCGAAAGCUGUGCUAAUACCGCAUACGAUCUGUGGAUGAAAGCGGGGGACCUUCGGGCCUCGCGCGAUUGGAGCGGCCGAUGUCAGAUUAGGUAGUUGGUGGGGUAAAGGCCCACCAAGCCGACGAUCUGUAGCUGGUCUGAGAGGACGACCAGCCAAACUGGGACUGAGACACGGCCCAGACUCCUACGGGAGGCAGCAGUGGGGAAUUUUGGACAAUGGGCGCAAGCCUGAUCCAGCAAUGCCGCGUGCAGGAAGAAGGCCUUCGGGUUGUAAACUGCUUUUGUACGGAGCGAAAAGGCUCCCUCUAAUACAGGGGGCUCAUGACGGUACCGUAAGAAUAAGCACCGGCUAACUACGUGCCAGCCGCCGCGGUAAAAC